rnacentral:rRNA from 1 species
CACGGGGGGAGCAAGCGUUGUUCGGAAUCACUGGGCGUAAAGGGCGUGUAGGCGGUCAAGUAAGUGGGAUGUGAAAUCCCUCGGCUCACCCGAGGACCUGCAUCCCAAACUGCUUGGCUUGAGUAUGGGAGAGGAUGAGGGAAUUCCUGGUGUAGCGGUGAAAUGCGUAGAUAUCAGGAGGAACACCGGUGGCGAAGGCGCUCAUCUGGCCCAAUACUGACGCUGGAGGCGACGAAAGCUAGGGGAGCAAACGGG